rnacentral:rRNA from 1 species
UACGAAGGGUGCAAGCGUUACUCGGAAUUACUGGGCGUAAAGCGUGCGUAGGUGGUGAGUUAAGUCUGUCGUGAAAGCCCCGGGCUCAACCUGGGAAUGGCGAUGGAUACUGGCUCGCUAGAGUGCGGUAGAGGAGAGUGGAAUUCCCGGUGUAGCAGUGAAAUGCGUAGAGAUCGGGAGGAACAUCAGUUGCGAAGGCGGCCACCUGGACCAGCACUGACACUGAGGCACGAAAGCGUGGGGAGCAAACAGG